rnacentral:rRNA from 1 species
GAUGAACGCUGGCGGCGUGCCUAAUACAUGCAAGUCGAGCGAACGGACGAGAAGCUUGCUUCUCUGAUGUUAGCGGCGGACGGGUGAGUAACACGUUGAUAACCUACCUAUAAGACUGGGAUAACUUCGGGAAACCGGAGCUAAUACCGGAUGAUAUUUUGAACCGCAUGGUUCAAAAGUGAAAGACGGUCUUGCUGUCACUUAUAGAUGGAUCCGCGCUGCAUUAGCUAGUUGGUAAGGUAACGGCUUACCAAGGCAACGAUGCAUAGCCGACCUGAGAGGGUGAUAGGCCACACGAGAGCUGAGACACGGUCAAGACUCCUAAGGGAGGCAGCAGUAGGGAAUCUUCCGCAAAGGGCGAAAGCAUGACGGAGCAACGCCGCGUGAGUGAUGAAGGUCCUCGGAUCGUAAAACUCUGUUAUUAGGGAAGAACAUAUGUGGAAGUAACUGUGCACAUCUUGACGGUACCUAAUCAGAAAGCCACGGCUAACUACGUG